rnacentral:ribozyme from 1 species
GCUGCUCGUAUAUGCUACCUCUCCGUGGUGAGCAGCAGGCAACGAGAUACUCUCUCGGCUAAAAGCAUUU